GCCAGGUGUAGUGGCAUGUGCCUGUAGUCCCAGCUACUCGGGAGGCUGAGGUGGAAGGAUAGCUUGAGUCCAGGAGUUCUGGGCUGCAGUGCGCUAUGCUGAUCGGGUGUCCGCACUAAGUUCGGCAUCAAUAUGGUGACUUCCCGGGAGCCGGGGACCACCAGGUUGCCUAAGGAGGGGUGAACUGGCCCAGGUUGUUAACAGGGCAGGUCAAAACUCCCACGCUGAUCAGUAGUGGGAUCGUGCCUGUGAAGAGCCACCGCACUUCAGCCUGGGCAACAUAGCGAGACCCUGUCUCU
rnacentral:SRP_RNA from 1 species